GACGAACGCUGGCGGCGUGCUUAACACAUGCAAGUCGAACGGAAAGGCCCUGCUUUUGUGGGGUGCUCGAGUGGCGAUCGGGUGAGUAACACGUGAGUAACCUGCCCUUGACUUUGGGAUAACUUCAGGAAACUGGGGCUAAUACCGGAUAGGAGCUCCUGCUGCAUGGUGGGGGUUGGAAAGUUUCGGCGGUUGGGGAUGGACUCGCGGCUUAUCAGCUUGUUGGUGGGGUAGUGGCUUACCAAGGCUUUGACGGGUAGCCGGCCUGAGAGGGUGACCGGCCACAUUGGGACUGAGAUACGGCCCAGACUCCUACGGGAGGCAGCAGUGGGGAAUAUUGCACAAUGGGCGGAGGCCUGAUGCAGCAACGCCGCGUGCGGGAUGACGGCCUUCGGGUUGUAAACCGCUUUCGCCUGUGACGAAGCGUGAGUGACGGUAAUGGGUAAAGAAGCACCGGCUAACUACGUG
rnacentral:rRNA from 1 species